rnacentral:tRNA from 1 species
UAGAGAGUAAGAAACUGGUGUUUCAGCUAGUCUUCAAAACUAGCAGCGGGCGGAUAAUACCGUCCUUGGCAGGUUCGAUUCCUGCACUCUC